UACCCUACCUACAGGCAACUGCUCUC
rnacentral:piRNA from 1 species